AACGAACGCUGGCGGCGUGCCUAACACAUGCAAGUCGAACGCGAAAGCCUGGGCAACUGGGCGAGUAGAGUGGCGCACGGGUGAGUAACACGUGGGUAACCUACCUUCGAGUGGGGAAUAACUCCUCGAAAGGGGAGCUAAUACCGCAUAAGACCACGGCCUCUUCGGAGGUUGCGAUCAAAGGUGGCCUCAACAAGCGGAGCGUUUGGGACGACCUUCCCAAGUGGAGGGUGGUUCGGAGCGCUUAGCUCAGUGAAGCUGUUGCUCGAAGAGGGGCCCGCGUCCCAUCAGCUAGUUGGUAGGGUAACGGCCUACCAAGGCAACGACGGGUAGCUGGUCUGAGAGGACGACCAGCCACACGGGAAUUGAGAUACGGUCCCGACUCCUACGGGAGGCAGCAGUGGGGAAUCUUGGGCAAUGGGGGAAACCCUGACCCAGCGACGCCGCGUGGGGGAUGAAGGCCUUCGGGUCGUAAACCCCUGUUAGGUGGGACGAACGUCUUCUAGUGAAUAGCUGGAGGACUUGACGGUACCACCAGAGAAAGCCCCGGCUAACUCCGUGC
rnacentral:rRNA from 1 species